AGUGAACGCUGGCGGUAGGCCUAACACAUGCAAGUCGAACGGCAGCACAGUAAGAGCUUGCUCUUACGGGUGGCGAGUGGCGGACGGGUGAGGGAUACAUCGGAAUCUACUUUUUCGUGGGGGAUAACGUAGGGAAACUUACGCUAGUACCGCAUACGACCUACGGGUGAAAGCAGGGGAUCUUCGGACCUUGCGCGAUUGAAUGAGCCGAUGUCGGAUUAGCUAGUUGGCGGGGUAAAGGCCCACCAAGGCGACGAUCCGUAGCUGGUCUGAGAGGAUGAUCAGCCACACUGGAACUGAGACACGGUCCAGACUCCUACGGGAGGCAGCAGUGGGGAAUAUUGGACAAUGGGCGCAAGCCUGAUCCAGCCAUACCGCGUGGGUGAAGAAGGCCUUCGGGUUGUAAAGCCCUUUUGUUGGGAAAGAAAAGCAGCAGGUUAAUACCCCGCUGUUCUGACGGUACCCAAAGAAUAAGCACCGGCUAACUUCGUG
rnacentral:rRNA from 1 species